UACGAAGGGGGUUAGCGUUGUUCGGAUUUACUGGGCGUAAAGAGCGCGCAGGCGGUCGAUUUAGUCGCGUGUGAAAGCCCCCGGCUCAACUGGGGAGGGUCACGCGAUACUGAUCGACUCGAAGGCAGGAGAGGGUAGUGGAAUUCACGGUGUAGUGGUGAAAUGCGUAGAUAUCGGGAGGAACACCAGUGGCGAAGGCGACUACCUGGCCUGUUCUUGACGCUGAGGCGCGAAAGCUAGGGGAGCAAACGGG
rnacentral:rRNA from 1 species